UACGAAGGGGGCUAGCGUUGCUCGGAAUCACUGGGCGUAAAGCGCACGUAGGCGGUUUGUUAAGUCAGGGGUGAAAUCCUGGAGCUCAACUCCAGAACUGCCUUUGAUACUGGCGAUCUUGAGUCCGGGAGAGGUGAGUGGAACUGCGAGUGUAGAGGUGAAAUUCGUAGAUAUUCGCAAGAACACCAGUGGCGAAGGCGGCUCACUGGCCCGGUACUGACGCUGAGGCACGAAAGCGUGGGGAGCAAACAGG
rnacentral:rRNA from 1 species